rnacentral:rRNA from 1 species
GAUAUUGCACAAUGGUGGAAACCCUGAUGCAGCGACGCCGCGCGGAGGAAGACGGUCCCCCGGAUUGUAAAUUCCUGUCUUAUGGGACGAUAAUAACGGUACCAUAGGACGUAGUACCGGCUACGUACGUGCCAGCAGCCACGGUAAUACGUAGGGUGCGAGCGUUGUCCGGAAUUACUGGGUGUAAAGGGAGCGUAGGCGGGGAUGCAAGUCAAGUGUCAAAUCUAUCGGCUCAACCGAUAGCCGCGCUUGAAACUGUGUCUCUUGAGUGAAGUAGAGGCAGGCGGAAUUCCUAGUGUAGCGGUGAAAUGCGUAGAUAUUAGGAGGAACACCAGUGGCGAAGGCGGCCUGCUGGGCUUUUACUGACGCUGAGGCUCGAAAGUGUGGGGAGCAAACA